GUACCAAAAAUGAAUUUCAGUUCAAUUUUAAAUUUACUAAACAAACCUAAAAUUUUAAAGUAAAUUUAAAACUUAGCCUAAAGAGGGACAGCUCUUUAGGAAUGGAAAAAACCUUAAAUAGUGAAUAAACUGAUCAAACUAAACAAACCAUUGUAGGCCUAAAAGCAGCCACCAAUAAAGAAAGCGUUCAAGCUCAACAUUGUACUUUUUAUAAUUACAUAAAUAAUAAUAAAUUCCUAUACUUAAACUGGGUUAAUCUAUUAUUUUAUAGAUGAAAUACUGUUAAUAUGAGUAACAAGAAUUGUAUUCUCCUUGCACAAGUGUAUGACAACUCGGAUACCCAUUGUCAAUUAUCAAACUAUAGGUAAAAUUCAACAAAUAGAUCUACCUAAAAACUUAUUGUUAGCCCAACACAGGAGUGCCAUAAGGAAAGAUUAAAAAAGAUAAAAGGAACUCGGCAAACUAGAACCCCGCCUGUUUACCAAAAACAUCACCUCUAGAAUACCAAAUAUUAGAGGCAUUGCCUGCCCAGUGACUAGAGUUUAACGGCCGCGGUAUCCUGACCGUGCAAAGGUAGCAUAAUCACUUGUUCCUUAAUUAGGGACUAGAAUGAACGGCUAAACGAGGGUUCAACUGUCUCUUAUCUUUAAUCAGUGAAAUUGACCUUCCAGUGAAGAGGCUGGAAUUUUAUAAUAAGACGAGAAGACCCUAUGGAGCUUUAAUUUUCCUAGUUUAAUUAAAUCAACACAUUUAACCUACAUGGGACAACAAACAAUAAUAUAAACUUAAAAUUUCGGUUGGGGUGACCUCGGAGAAAAAAUUAUCCUCCGAAUGAUUAUAACUUAGACCAACAAGUCAACGUACAUACUAAAUCUCAUUGACCCAAUUUUUGAUCAACGGACCAAGUUACCCUAGGGAUAACAGCGCAAUCCUACUUAAGAGUUCAUAUCGACAGUUAGGGUUUACGACCUCGAUGUUGGAUCAGGACAUCCCAAUGGUGCAGAAGCUAUUAAUGGUUCGUUUGUUCAACGAUUAAAGUCCUACGUGAUCUGAGUCAGACGGAUAUC
rnacentral:rRNA from 1 species